GACGAACGCUGGCGGCGUGCCUAAUACAUGCAAGUUGAGCGCUGAAGGUUGGUACUUGUCCCAACUGGAUGAGCAGCGAACGGGUGAGUAACGCGUGGGGAAUCUGCCUUUGAGCGGGGGACAACAUUUGGAAACGAAUGCUAAUACCGCAUAAAAACUUUAAACACAAGUUUUAAGUUUGAAAGAUGCAAUUGCAUCACUCAAAGAUGAUCCCGCGUUGUAUUAGCUAGUUGGUGAGGUAAAGGCUCACCAAGGCGAUGAUACAUAGCCGACCUGAGAGGGUGAGCGGCCACAGUGGGAAUGAGAGACGGCCCAAACUCCUACGGGAGGCAGCAGUAGGGAAUCUUCGGCAGUGGACGAAAGUCUGACCGAGCAACGCCGCGUGAGUGAAGAAGGGUGUCGGAUCGUAAAACUCUGUUGGUAGAGAAGAACGUUGGUGAGAGUGGAAAGCUCAUAAAGUGACGGUAACUACCCAGAAAGGGACGGCUAACUACGUG
rnacentral:rRNA from 1 species